GAUGAUGAUGAGCAUGGUGGAGCUGGGCUGU
rnacentral:piRNA from 1 species